UCCACUUCCCGUCUUGAAUCACCU
rnacentral:siRNA from 1 species